UCAAGGCCCUCUAUCCCCA
rnacentral:tRNA from 1 species